UCAGGACCGAACGCUGGCGGCAUGCCUAAUACAUGCAACCCGAGCGGACAGAAGGGAGCAUGCUCCCGGAAGUCAGCGGCGGACGGGUGAGUAACACGUGGGCAACCUGCCCGCAUAGAUUGGGAUAACUUCGGGAAACCGAAGCUAAUACCGAAUAAAACAUAGAAUCUCCUGGUUCAACGUUGAAAGAUGGCCUUCGUGCUAUCACUAAAGGAUGGGCCCGCGGCGCAUUAGCUAGUUGGUAAGGUAACGGCUUACCAAGGCGACGAUGCGUAGCCGACCUGAGAGGGUGAUCGGCCACACUGGGACUGAGACACGGCCCAGACUCCUACGGGAGGCAGCAGUAGGGAAUCUUCCGCAAUGGACGAAAGUCUGACGGAGCAAUGCCGCGUGAGUGAGGAAGGCCUUCGGGUCGUAAAGCUCUGUUGUGAGGGAAGAACAAGUACCGGCGUAACUACCGUACCGUGACGUACCUCA
rnacentral:rRNA from 1 species